rnacentral:rRNA from 1 species
UAAAAGCCGUCCCAGUUCAGAUCGCAGUCUGCAACCCGACUGCGUGAAGUCGGAAUCGCUAGUAAUCGCGGAUCAGCAUGCCGCGGUGAAUACGUUCCCGGGCCUUGUACACACCGCCCGUCACACCAUGGGAGUCGGGAAUGCCCGAAGUCGGUGAGCCAACGAAAGAGGCAGCCGCCGAAGGCAGGCCCGGUAACUGGGGUGAAGUCGUAACAAGGUACC